AUCACUAAUGCAGGCUUACUGCUAUUUAAGAUAAGUUCGACACGUUACGACUUUUCUUGUUUGGCCCGCUGGGAGUCGAGUCUUUCUUACCGAGCGCCUUGAUUGGACUUAACACGCGUUCUAACCGAAAGGAGCACCGCCGGCUGCCCUGGCGCUGGAAUUCGUCGGGCUCCACUGCCCGAGGGGCUCGGCGGCCAAGGUGGCUUCUUCGGCGGCGUCACGGGUGCCCCUGGGCUGGCCCGCCCGGCUACUCUGCCGAGGCGUCAAACUCAAGCAGCGGCUCGUCUCGGGGCUGCUCCUCGCCGCCUCGGCCAUCCUCUUCCUCACCCUCGUGCGCAUCACGGGCGUCCGGCAGCUGCCGCCAUUCGCGUCGCCCGCCC